GUGCUGCUGCCGGUGCUCCCUGCCCGCUCCCUGCCCGCUCCCUGCCCGCUCCAGCCAGGGGACCCUGUGGCGCCAUGACUCUGGCUGCGAUGGAUUUGAUAGUUGACUCUGGUAAUACCAGACCGAUUUAUAAAUCUUUCCAUCCCAUUAGUUUUUAUUUGAUUUGGAUGUUCACAUGUCAAAGCAAAUGAUUUAAUUAGUGCUAAGCUGGACUGCAGGGACGCCACGUUUUCCCCUGGUCUGGUGCUCCCUCCCUGGCCUGGCAGCCCGGCUCCCCGUGCCAGAAACAGCCGGUGCCCGCAGGACCCGUCUCUGGCCGGGCGGGUGAUGCCCUCAUGGGCACGAGCCCGGAGUCCCCGGGCAGCCACUCGCUCCCAGCUCCCACCGGUGGAGCAGCACAGCACCCGGGGGCCUCAUCCAUCCCUCCCCACAGCUUCCCGUGGUGCUGGUGUGGCGCAGCCACCGUGCUCCCGCAUCCCGGCCCCUCCCCAUGUAGGGAUGGGGGGACAAAGGCUGAGCCCAGGCUGCAGGGUGACGCGGCCGUGCCAGGACCCGCUCCCCUUCCCACUGCAGCUCUGGCGCUGUCCUUGCAUCAGUAAUGACUUUGCUGCUGAUGGGGACGGAGCCAUCCCGGGGUCCCCAGCGGCCCGGCCGUGACCUUGCCCUCUGUCCUGCCUGGCUCUGGCCUCCCUCGGGAGCGUCUCUGCUUGCUGCUGUGUCUGGGGGGGGCCCUGGGGUUGGUGCAGACCCGGGAGUAACCAUGGCCAGGGGCCCUUGGCAGCGCUGCAGGAGGGAGCUGUGCCUGCCUUCUCUUGCUGGGAGGGGACACUCCCCCAGCCCACGCUGGACACCACCUCCCGGUGCCCAGCCCGGCUCCUUCCUCACCAUCACCUUCUGCUUCGCUUGCAGGAGCCUGAUGCCACGAACGCUCGACAGCCAGAUCACGGUGGAGAAGACCCCCAGCUACUUCGUCACCAAGGAGGCACCACGGCGGAUCUUCAACAUGUCCCGGGACACGAAGCUGAUCGUGGUGGUGAGGAACCCGGUCACCCGGGCCAUCUCGGACUACACGCAGACGCUCUCCAAGAAGCCGGACAUCCCCACCUUCGAGGGGCUGUCCUUCCGCAACCGGACCCUGGGGCUGGUGGACACCUCCUGGAACGCCAUCCGCAUCGGGAUGUACGCCGUGCACCUGGAGAGCUGGCUCCAGUACUUCCCCCUCUCCCAGAUCCACUUUGUCAGCGGGGAGAAGCUGAUCACGGACCCAGCCGGGGAGAUGGGCAAAGUCCAGGACUUCCUGGGCAUCAAACGGGUUAUCACGGACAAGCACUUCUACUUCAACAAGACGAAAGGCUUCCCUUGCCUGAAAAAGUCAGAGAGCAGCGGCUUGCCUCGCUGCCUGGGCAAGUCCAAAGGCAGGACUCACGUGCAGAUAGACCCCGAGGUGAUCGAGCAGCUUCGGGACUUUUAUAGACCUUAUAAUAUCAAAUUCUAUGAAACAGUCGGGCAGGACUUCAGGUGGGAAUAAGUGUCCGGGAGCAGAGCUGCGGUGAUGCGAGGCUGCGGGCUUCCAGAGGGGUCCCAGGGGGGCUGGAGCCAGGACCCCCCCGGGCCAGAAGCCGCGAGCAGAAGCAGGUGACGGGCUUCUCCGGCCCUCGGGAGGCCGGGAUGCUCCCAAGCAAGCCGGGAUGGGGGAAGACCCAGAGUCCUGCUGCCGUGGGGUGAGUGCCCACCAGGCGCGGCCCAUCCCAGCAGGUCACAGCGCCGUGGUUUGCUCCGUGGGGUCCCAUUUGCUUUUACCACCACGUGGUCCCCGGGGAUGGCCCCGUCCUGCAGCCUAUGCGCGGGCUGCUCCAAAGCACGUCCCUCCUCCGUGUCCCGAAGGGAAGGGGCGCUCCCGGACCCCCCGGCCAUGGGGCUGUCCCCGUGGGGCCACGUCCUGCCGCUGCAGAGCUGGG